rnacentral:rRNA from 1 species
UACAGAGGUGGCAAGCGUUGUUCGGAAUUACUGGGCGUAAAGGGCGCGUAGGCGGCCUUCUAAGUCAGACGUGAAAUCCCCCGGCUUAACCUGGGAACUGCGUCUGAUACUGGGAGGCUUGAGUAUGGGAGAGGGAUGUAGAAUUCCAGGUGUAGCGGUGAAAUGCGUAGAUAUCUGGGGGAAUACCGGUGGCGAAGGCGGCAUCCUGGACCAUAACUGACGCUGAGGCGCGAAAGCUAGGGGAGCAAACGGG